AACUCAUUUUCACUCAGCACAGACUUUCUGCCAGACCUGGAAGAGUUCUCUUCCCUUUCUAUUUGUUACAGCCUGUCCAAGUCAAAAUUCAAGCCUUGCCAGCUUCUAGCUACGUGACCUUGGGCAAUUCCACAAAUCUCUUUUCUUUGGUCUUCUUAUCUGUAAAAUGGCGAGAAUAACAGCAUAGUCCUUGCUGUCAGGUUUAAAUUACUUAAGGCAUCUCUAGGAUUCUGAGACGUGAGAUAGGUGUUGGCUGUUAUAAAAUGACCCUCAGUGUCACAAGCGUUGCAUCCUUAUUCUGCUCUCUCUAAAGAUUUUUUUUUUUUUUCCUCCUCUCUGUUUCUCAGGUGGUAAAAGGCUCACGGAGGCCAGCCGAGCGUGUCCGGAGUCGCAAGGAGAGCUCGGCAGGGUCGGGUUUCAAAACCGGAGCUCUCUGUGCAUUGUGACGCAUACCAUUCUGGCUGGCUGUUCCCACUGAUUCCGACGCCUGCGCCCUCGGGCUCUGCCGGUGUCGGGUCCUGGUUUGCGCUGUGGUUGUUCGCUUCCGGACUUGCCUUUUAGCUGACUAUGGCUUCAGAUCAUCCCGGGGUCUUCGUAACUGCGUGGGAGCCAAGCACCAUGAGGGCAGGUAGGAAGGAGUACUUUUUAAUUCGCGUAUUAGCGAUGCUGUUGGCUGCAAAUGACGGAAACCCACCUCAACCUGCCUCGGAGGAAGAGAUUGGAAUAAUGGCUUCAGAAGACCAGGAAUUUCACAGGGCACGUCCGGCUUCAGGGACGCCCCUCUCCUCCGAGUCCGUAUCACUUUCACUGGGCAUUCGUCUCCGCCACUCCUUCUGCUCUGGCUCAGUGUCAGUCUCUCCCGAAUGGGGUGAAGAAGGCCACCAGCAGCUCCAGGCUCCUGCACUUGUAAAAUGGCGGCCCUGUGAGGGGACGGCCCUCUCCCGGUGGCCACACAGCAUUCCCGUGGCUGACGUGAUGGGUCUUCCUCGGAUCUUAUGCCCACGUGUGAACCCGGACUGGAGAGAUGGCUUCUCUGAUGGACUGGGUUGUGAGCUCACCUUAGAGACAGAGAAGGGGUCAGCCCUGUCCGGCCUCACAACCAGAACACGGAAACGGGUGCCCGGGCGGCUCAGUCAGUCGGGCGUCUGACUUCGGCUCAGAUCACGGUCUCGGGGUUCGUGAGUUCGAGCCCCACGUCGGGGUCUGUGCUGACAGCUUGGAGCCUGGAG